GGGGGUGACUGGUUUCGAUAGGAAAUCAGGCCUGCCUGUGUGCAAGACGGAAGCGGACGUUCUUCCUAAAAAAUGUCCAAACCUAAGUGCAAAUAAAACUGCACGGGGGGCUCUUUCUCCGAUUCAGGCGAAAGACCUCGGCCUCGUCUUCGCUUAAACGCCAGGGCGACCGCUCGCGUAAUCUUUCCGAUAGAUUGCUGCGAACGUCAUAACUUCGGAUCCGAUUCCUAGCUCACUCCGGCUUGGAAUCUAAAGAAAGAGAGUCCGGAAUUGUGGGAUCUUGAACAUUCCCUACCCGCAAUUUCUAAAUCCGCCAGCCGGCGGAAAAAGAAUGUUCUAUGUCUUGUAGAAUCGCUUGCAGAUCAUUUUCUACACGCGGGAUCAUUCCCCGCCACCUCCACAU
rnacentral:tmRNA from 1 species